rnacentral:hammerhead_ribozyme from 1 species
AUCCAGCCGAAGAAUCUCAAAUAGGACGAAACGCACGUUCCGGAU